rnacentral:rRNA from 1 species
UACGUAGGGCGCAAGCGUUGUCCGGAAUUAUUGGGCGUAAAGAGCUCGUAGGCGGCUUGUCACGUCGGGUGUGAAAGCCCGGGGCUUAACCCCGGGUCUGCAUUCGAUACGGGCUAGCUAGAGUGUGGUAGGGGAGAUCGGAAUUCCUGGUGUAGCGGUGAAAUGCGCAGAUAUCAGGAGGAACACCGGUGGCGAAGGCGGAUCUCUGGGCCUUACCUGACGCUCAGGUGCGAAAGCGUGGGGAGCGAACAGG